rnacentral:lncRNA from 1 species
AUGUGGGCCUGCUGGGGGAAGCGGCGCCUCGGGCCUGGCCUGGGCCUGGGCCCAGGGGCCUGUCCUGGCCCUCGGGGCUCCACUCCCCUCAGAGCGGGACGCUGCUGGCCUCACCCCCCUGCUCUCCCCCAUCACAGACCGCCAACUCCACUGCCCUGCAGCAAUUUUAACAAAACUGAAGUUUUCCCCUCUCCCUUGACUGCCAUGUCGGUGGGAUACCUGGCCAGGAGAGCAGGAGGCACCUGGGCAAAGAGGAAAGCGGGAAAUGCAGUGGAUCAAAAUGAAGAUACGAAUUCCUCUGUGGGAAGGUGGCAUACGGCCCUGGUUAUUCAGUACAUCUGUGUUAUACAUGAUCACAGCACGAGACAAAGGAGGCAGGACAGACAGAUAUGUGACAGAUGCAUAACAUCUGGAAGGUGUAUUUCAAGGUGGAGGAAUGACACGGGAGUUCUUCAAUAA